rnacentral:tRNA from 1 species
GGCUGCGUAGUUCAAUUGGAUAGAAUAUCAGAUUUCGGCUCUGAGGGUUGGGGGUUCGAAUCCCUCCGCGGUCA